GCUGCAAGUGUGGCCAUUAAAUUAAAAAAAAAAUUUUUUUUGGCCACUUCUGAUUAAACCAUCUCAUUCCAGUUUUAUGACCCAUUCUCAUGCCCUUUUUAAAAAAUUGAAGUAUAGUUGGUUUAUAAUGCUGUUAAUUUCUGCGAUAUAGGAAAGUGAUUCAAUGACACACACACACAUUCUUUUAAAAAUUAUUUUCCAUUAUGGUUUUAUCACGGAUAUUAAAUAUAGUUUCCUGUGCUAUACAGAAGGGCCUUGUUGCUUAUUCACUCCCAGGCACUUUAAACCUUCAACGAUCUAAUCCAUCUAAAGUGCCUACUCCUGUGCCCCUUCCCUGUUCUUAGGAGGGCCUAAAAAGACUGCGGGAAGGGAUUUGCACUCUUGGUAAACAACUGAGAUGAUACCGUAUGAGGAGGUCAUGGCUGCCGCAGCUGCACAGGGGUGAUGGAAGGAUCCUGGUCCCCUCUCCGUCCUUGGAAUGUGAGUUUGCUUGCUUUCCCUGACCUGGAAGCUGAUUCAUGGACACUGUCUAGAGAGAAUAGGAGUUGCUGAGACACUCUGGAUGGUCUAUUUGACUGAAGCCAGUUAAAGCCUUUGUAGAAACUUCUGAGAUUCUGGUGGGCAGGAACAGAGAGCUACGGGACUCUCAGCGCCCAAGACAAGCCUAUUGAAACUUCUGCUCUCUCCUUGUUCCUGGCAACCAUCAUCCUACCUCUGUCUAAGAACUUGACUUCUCUAGUCACCUUGGGGGGCAAGAAGUCAUAGAAAACUAUUGAGAAAGAACCACCAUAAAUAUCCAAAGAUCAAGGAAAGGGUUUAGAAAUCCAUGCGACCUGGACAGAGACAGAGUGACACAGAAGAACUGUGCCAUGGGCUCCAUCCCUGAGAAUUCUCUUCUGUUCACCUGUGAUAUGGAACAAGAAGACUUCCUGGUGCAAGUCCUGAUCCAUCAAACCCAAUGAAACUCCAUGCUAAAUCAUCCUGGAGAAUCACAGCCCUAGUCUUCCAAGUGUCAGAUAGGAGGAUAAGAUAAGAACAAAAGAUGUUGGCCAGGAGAUCUAGGAUCAAGUUGAUCCAAGCUUGAGAACCCGAGAAAAGUGAGCAGUUCAGAGCCAGAAUGACCUGUAGGUUUGGUUUUAUAUGUAUUCAGUGCAUGAAUGAGGUUGGAAGCAACUGCCUAAAGGAGUGGGCAGGAGGCAGGGGCGAAGAGUAAGGUGUGAAGUUGUUUGUGAUGACCUCAAGGCAUGGCCAGUUCUAAAGUAUGGGGCAUAUUCCCCAACAUAAUUUUCCUAUAUUGACUUACAUUUCUUCUCUAAUCACUGUUUAAAAAACUGCCAGUCUUUAAAAUAAAUGAUGUUAACAGGCAUUGCAGCUAUCCACAUUCUUCCUUGGAACUGAAGUUGUGUGUUUAAAAGCAAUAUGCAUUUCUUUCUGUCAGCCUAUUUGCUUAAAAUCUCAAUUGUAGUUCUUUACAGUAGACAGCAAAUGGCACAUGUAACCAGUUGACUAGUAUUAACCUUGUGUUUUAUGUCAUUGCAAUAAAAUACUCUCCUGAAUACUAUUGGCAAAUGAAGGGCAGCCACAAUGCUUAUCAGUCCCUACAUAUAAAUCAUGACUAAAAACAACAAGUAUGAAUAUAAUGGAAAUUUUCUGUAGAAUUAAAUUGUGGGAAAAGAGUUCAUCUUUCCUUGACAAUUUUAUACUGCCUGAAAGCACAUGGUCCCUUAACUCCACUCGAUGUUUUGGGAGCAAUGACUGAAGUGUCAUUCAACAAACUGCUAUCUUAAGCAAUAAAUAACACCAAAUAUCUUAAAAAAAGAUAAAGAGAGAAGAGCAGAAGAAAGUUAAUGAUCCUUGUUGUUUGACAGUCAGGCACAAUGUUGUUUCCUAACUUUCCACAGAAAGUUUUGUCCCUCCGAUAGGAAUCUGGCUGUAUUGAAAAUGAUGGGCCAUGAGAAGCAUGAAUCAGUGUCAACACGUGUGACCUCUAGGCUACUUAGUUCUACUCAAGAGUGAGGGAAGGAUGUGAAGAAAAGGAGGGAGAGGAAAAUAAGAAAGGCAGAGAAGAAAAUGAAAAGGAAAAGUGAGAGAAGUCCAGCUAGAUCCUGUUCUUUGAGAGAUGCAGUGUGGUAGAAGGGAAAAUGCUGUGAGUGUUUUCACUCAGAGUCAUGGGUUUGAAUCCAGUCUCACAUUUUACCCACUAAAUAACCUUGGGAAAGCCACUUUUAACCCUGUGAUCCUGAGCUCUUCACCUGGAGAGCAGGGCUAAUGACAUCCUGUAAUGCUGAUAGGAGAGAAGCAGUGCUGACCUCGAAUGCGGGCUGAAUAAAUGUUGGC